GAUGAACGCUAGCGGCAGGCUUAAUACAUGCAAGUCGUGGGGCAGCAGGACGGUAGCAAUACCGUUGCUGGCGACCGGCAAACGGGUGCGGAACACGUACACAACCUUCCUUUAAGUGGGGAAUAGCCCAGAGAAAUUUGGAUUAAUACCCCGUAACAUGGUGAAAAGGCAUCUUUUUAUCAUUAUAGCAGCAAUGCGCUUAAUGAUGGGUGUGCGGCUGAUUAGGUAGUUGGCGGGGUAACGGCCCACCAAGCCUUCGAUCAGUAACUGGUGGGAGAGCACGACCAGCCACAAGGGCACUGAGACACGGGCCCGACUCCUACGGGAGGCAGCAGUAAGGAAUAUUGGGCAAUGGAGGCAACUCUGACCCAGCCAUGCCGCGUGGAGGAUGAAGGUCCUCUGGAUUGUAAACUUCUUUUAUAUGGGACGAAAAAAGGGUUUUCUAACUCGACUGACGGUGCCAUAUGAAUAAGCACCGGCUAACUCCGUGCCAGCAGCCGCGGUAAGAC
rnacentral:rRNA from 1 species